UACGGAGGGUGCAAGCGUUGCUCGGAAUUACUGGGCGUAAAGCGCGUGUAGGUGGUGGGACAAGUCUGCUGUGAAAGCGCCUGGCUUAACCGGGCGAGGUCGGCGGAAACUGUUCGACUCGAGGACGGUAGAGGGGGGUGGAAUUCCCGGUGUAGUGGUGAAAUGCGUAGAGAUCGGGAGGAACACCUGUGGCGAAGGCGGCCCCCUGGGCCGGCCCUGACACUGAGACGCGAAGGCGUGGGGAGCGAACGGG
rnacentral:rRNA from 1 species